rnacentral:rRNA from 1 species
GACGAACGCUGGCGGCGUGCCUAAUACAUGCAAGUAGAACGCUGAAGGAGGAGCUUGCUUCUCCGGAUGAGUUGCGAACGGGUGAGUAACGCGUAGGUAACCUGCCUGGUAGCGGGGGAUAACUAUUGGAAACGAUAGCUAAUACCGCAUAACAGUAGAUGUUGCAUGACAUUUGCUUAAAAGGUGCAAUUGCAUCACUACCAGAUGGACCUGCGUUGUAUUAGCUAGUUGGUGAGGUAACGGCUCACCAAGGCGACGAUACAUAGCCGACCUGAGAGGGUGAUCGGCCACACUGGGACUGAGACACGGCCCAGACUCCUACGGGAGGCAGCAGUAGGGAAUCUUCGGCAAUGGACGGAAGUCUGACCGAGCAACGCCGCGUGAGUGAAGAAGGUUUUCGGAUCGUAAAGCUCUGUUGUAAGAGAAGAACGAGUGUGAGAGUGGAAAGUUCACACUGUGACGGUAUCUUACCAGAAAGGGACGGCUAACUACGU